UAGGGAAUAUUAGUAAUGGGCGAAAGCCUGAACUAGCAACACCGCGUGUGCGAAGAAGGCCUUCGGGUUGUAAAGCACUUUUUGAGAGGAUGAGGAAGGACGGUACUCUCAGAAUAAGUCUCGGCUAACUACGUGCCAGCAGCCGCGGUAACACGUAGGAGGCAAACGUUAUCCGGAUUUACUGGGCGUAAAGCGCGUGUAGGUGGUUUGGUAAGUAGAGCGUGAAAGCUCCUGGCUCAACUGGGAGAGGUCGUUCUAAACUGCCGGACUAGAGGAUGGUAGAGGGAGGUGGAAUUCCGGGUGUAGCGGUGGAAUGCGCAGAUAUCCGGAGGAACACCAGCGGCGAAGGCGACUUCCUGGCACAAUACUGACGCUCAUGUGCGAAAGCUAGGGUAGCGAACG
rnacentral:rRNA from 1 species